rnacentral:rRNA from 1 species
UGGGGAAUAUUGCACAAUGGGCGCAAGCCUGAUGCAGCCAUGCCGCGUGUGUGAAGAAGGCCUUCGGGUUGUAAAGCACUUUCAGCGAGGAGGAAGGCAUAAAGGUUAAUAACCUUUGUGAUUGACGUUACUCGCAGAAGAAGCACCGGCUAACUCCGUGCCAGCAGCCGCGGUCAUACGGAGGGUGCAAGCGUUAAUCGGAAUUACUGGGCGUAAAGCGCACGCAGGCGGUUUGUUAAGUCAGAUGUGAAAUCCCCGCGCUUAACGUGGGAACUGCAUUUGAAACUGGCAAGCUAGAGUCUUGUAGAGGGGGGUAGAAUUCCAGGUGUAGCGGUGAAAUGCGUAGAGAUCUGGAGGAAUACCGGUGGCGAAGGCGGCCCCCUGGACAAAGACUGACGCUCAGGUGCGAAAGCGUGGGGAGCAAACA